UAUACAGGUGUUGCAUGGCUGUCGUCAGCUCGUGUCGUGAGAUGUUCGGUUAAGUCCGCUAACGAGCGCAACCCUCGUCGUAUGUUAUAUGUGUCAUACGAGACUGCCGGUAAAAAGCCGGAGGAAGGUGAGGAUGAUGUCAAGUCGGCAUGACCUUUAUAUCCAGGGCUACACACACGCUACAAUGGUCUGUACAAUGGGUAGCCAAGCCGCGAGGCGGAGCCAAUCCUGAAAGCAGGCCUCAGUUCAGAUUGCAGUCUGCAACUCGACUGCAUGAAGCCGGAGUUGCUAGUAACCGCAGGUCAGCAAUACUGCGGUGAAUACGUUCCCGGGUCUU
rnacentral:rRNA from 1 species